rnacentral:rRNA from 1 species
CCUACGGGUGGCAGCAGUGAGGAAUAGUGGUCAAGGGGCGCGAGCCUGAACCAGCCAAGUAGCGUGAAGGAUGACUGCCCUACGGGUUGUAAACUUCGUUUAUAAAGGAAUAAAGUGAGGCACGUGUGCCUUUUUGUAUGUACUUUAUGAAUAAGGAUCGGCUAACUCCGUGCCAGCAGCCGCGGUAAUACGGAGGAUCCGAGCGUUAUCCGGCUUUAUUGGGUUUAAAGGGAGCGUAGAGGGGUUGUUAAGUCAGUUGUGAAAGUUUGCGGCUCAACCGUAAAAUUGCAAUUGAUACUGGCAGUCUUGCGUACAGUUGAGGUCGGCUGACUUCGUGGUGUCGCGG